rfam:Camelus ferus unplaced genomic scaffold scaffold1107, whole genome shotgun sequence.
GGGGGCAUUGCUCAGUGGUAGAGCAUGUGCCUGACAUGCACGAGAUUCUGGGUUCAAUCCCUAGUGCCUCUG